UGGCUUCAAACUAAAAUCAUCAGAUCUUAGCCUCCUGAAUAGCUAGGAUUACAAGCAUGAGCCACCAGUGUCCAGUGUUAGUAAAGCUGUAUAAAGUUACCACUGGAGCUACUGAUAUCACAUUACAAUAAACUUGAAAAGUUUAUCAUAUUAAGAAAAGAAAGUCAGGACAGCAUGUUUGAAAACACCCUGAAAAUCCAAACUGUAGCAUCUAUCUGAUAGGUGCUGUCAUGCUAGAAUGAAGGUCAUGAUUACACAGGAUUGUGGGGUGCUAUUUGGGGGAAAGUAAGCACUUGCCAUUUGAUGUUAACAGAGUUGUCUCUCAUCAGAGUUCUGACCUGAAUGCAACACAUUCUUCCAUCUUUGCCAGGAAUGUGACUGGCUGUCUUCUUUUGAGAUUACAUAAAAAUACAACAGAAAUGUGUCCUGAAUAUCAGUAUAGCCCACUCUUACCAUCAUCAAAGCACCUUCUCAGUAUGUUAUCAAAGAUAGCCAAAAAGACAGAAGCGACUUUGCUCCUACUCUUUCCUUCCUUUCCAAGAACAAGAUUUCAUGGUCAAGUGAGUUGAGAGUUCACACUUACUUUUACUAGUGAGCUAAGGUGAUCACAUGAUCCUAUUUUUGUCUGAGCUACUGACUUAUUUUUUCUUCUUCUAAAAUUAAGGGUCAAGGAGAUUCAACUCAUCUGAAUCAAAGGCAUAGCCACAGAUAGUACCAUGGUUGGGAAUCUCCAAAAAUUUAUCAUUAAGAAGUCAUUUUUUUAUUUUAAAUUUAUCAAUUCACCUCUAGCCAGGUAAUGAAAUAUUUAAGUGGGUAGAAGAGUGUGAGGAUAAAAUAUAUCAAUCAUAUAUGUAAACUCAGCUGACAGGAUCUCUUCCUCAAGAGUUAGUCAUGUGGCUGUCAUGAGCAAAAUAAACAGAAUGUGCUUGAUGUUUCAAGGAAAACCUGGUGUUUAUCCUUCAUUUUACAUAUUGCUUCUAUCUGUCCUUUUCUGUUCAGUCUAACAUGAAACCAAGCUGGUGUUAGGCUUUGAGUUUAUAUUUUUUUCUUGGGAUGUGCUAUUUUCUUAUGUGGUCCCACUUUGUUUCUUUUUCCAUAUAGAUCCUCUAUCAGAUAACUGGAACUCAGUCUUUGAGGUUGGUCUGAUAAGCAGUAGUUGUUAAUUUAGGCAAAUGCUGGUCAUGGUAAGCCAUAGUUUUAUGUGCCAACAAAUGAUUCUGUGCUUACAAACUGCUACCAAGGAUCUUAGCUAUACUCUUAAGUGAUCAGAAAUAAUCUAAAAUGUGAAUAAUUUCUCCAAAUACAUAAGAAAU